GACAGUGAGGUCUCAGACAUGGAGACGGAGAAGGACUCUUGUUUGAGACGUCCAUCCUCAGAAUCCUCAGGAGGAAAUAGAAAGACGCCUUCCUCUGAGUGUGGUGAGGACACCCUGUCCUCAGCAUCCUCCACACCAAGAAGGCCACACCAUGUCGAGUCAGACUGUGAUGAUGCUGAAGCAGGACCCUCUGAAGCAAAGAGACAAACUGUGACAUCUAUAACGGAUGACUCUGAAGAAGGAACCCAAAGAUGCAACCGAGCACAGCGAGAUGAAUCCUCUGUUACAGAAAGCUCAAAGAGGAGGAGUUGGACACCAUUAGAAGUGCGUGCAGUGGAAAAGACUCUAAAGCUGUUCCUAGAUUCGGGCAAAGUUCCUGGGAAAGCAGACUGUGUGGAUUGCAUCAAGGCCUCACCACAAGAGUUAAAGACAAGAACCUGGAAGGCUGUUAAGUACUACAUUAAAAAUCAAAUCACAGCAGUUCAGCGGGAAAGUGCAAGACGCUACUAAAGAUUUUAUCAGGCUUUUAUUUUGAGUACCUCCUCUACACUGGUGCUGAAGCUUUUGUUUUUAUUUUGGAAUGUUGGUAAAUCCUCUACGGUGGCACUGAAGCUUUUAUUUUUGUUUUGGAAUGUUGGUAAAUCCUCUACGGUGGCACUGAAGCUUUUUUUUUUUUUGUGAAGUUUUAC
rnacentral:lncRNA from 1 species